AGAGUUUGAUUCUGGCUCAGGAUGAACGCUGGCGGCGUGGAUAAGGCAUGCAAGUCGAACGGUCCAGUUCUUUCGCAAGAAAGAGCUGGGUAGUGGCGAACGAGUUAGUAACACCUUGGUACGUAAUCCGAAGCCGGGCAUAACGGGUCGAAGGAUCCGCUAAUUCCCGAUAGUAUCGCAAGAUUAAAGUCGCAAGACACUUCGGAAGCGACCUAGGUCCUAUCAGCUUGUUGGUGAGGUAACGGCUCACCAAGGCUAUGACGGGUAGGGGGCGUGAGAGCGUGGCCCUCAACGACGAAACUGAGACACGGUUCGUACACCUACGGGUGGCAGCAGUCGAGAAUAUUCGACAAUGGACGAAAGUCUGAUCGAGCGACGCCGCGUGGAGGAUGAAGGCCUUUGGGUCGUAAACUCCUUUUGCUAGGGAAAAACUUUGAUUGUACCUAGAGAAUAAGAGGUUGCUAACUCUGUGCCAGCAGCAGCGGUAAUACAGAGACCUCGAGCGUUAUCCGGAAUUACUGGGCGUAAAGCGCGAGUAGCCGGUUGUGUUAGUCUGGCGUUAAAUUCCGAGGCCCAACUUCGGAACUGCGUUGGAAACGGCACGGCUAGAGCGGGUAAGAGGCAAGCGGAACGUGCAGUGUAGGGGUGAAAUCCAUUGAUAUUGCACGGAACACCAAAAGCGAAGGCAGCUUGCUAGUGCUCUGCUGACGGUCAAUCGCGAAAGCGUGGGGAUCAAAAAGGAUUAGAUACCCUUGUAGUCCACGCCCUAAACUAUGCACACUAGCUAUUGGGAGCAUCGACCCUUCCAGUGGCGAAGCUAACGCGUUAAGUGUGUCGCCUGGGAAGUACGAGCGCAAGCUUAAAACUCAAAGAAAUAGGCGGGAACUCGCACAAGCAGUGGAUCAUGUGGUUCAAUUCGACUCUGAGCGGGAAACCUCACCAGGGCUUGAAAUCCAGAUGCAUGACGUGGAAACACGUCAGCCUUAGAGGGUUCUGGACAGGUGCUGCACGGCUGUCGUCAGCUCGUCUCGUGAGAGGUCUCCUUAAGUGGAUUAACGAGCGCAACCCCCAUCGUGUGUUACAAGUGUCACACGAGACUGCCUUCGUAAGAAGGAGGAAGGUGGGGAUGACGUCAAGUCAGCGUGGCCCUUUGAUGCCCUGGGCUACACACAUGAUACAAUGGAUGUUACAAUGGGUUGCCAAACCGCGAGGUGGAGCUAAUCCCAUCAAAGGCAUCCUCAGUUCGGAUAGGAGGCUGCAACUUGCCUCCUUGAAGCUGGAAUUGCUAGUAAUCGCAGAUCAGCACGCUGCGGUGAAUACGUUCUCGAGUUUUGCACUCACUGCCCGAGCGG
rnacentral:rRNA from 1 species